AAUCAACGCUGGCGGCGUGCCUAACACAUGCAAGUCGAGCGCGAAAGGGAGCAAUCCCCAAGUAGAGCGGCGAACGGGUGAGUAACGCGUGGGUAAUCUGCCUCCGAGUGGGGAACAACACCGGGAAACUGGUGCUAAUACCGCAUGACAUCGUUGGACCUUCGAUCUGACGAUCAAAGACCGGGGACCGGCAAGGCCUGGCGCUUGGAGAGGAGCCCGCCGUCCGAUUAGCAGUUGGUGGGGUAAGUGCCCACCAAGGNUACGAUCGGUAGCCGGCCUGAGAGGGCGGACGGCCACACUGGGACGUGAGACACGG
rnacentral:rRNA from 1 species